AUUGAACGCUGGCGGCAUGCUUUACACAUGCAAGUCGAACGGCAGCGCGGGCUUCGGCCUGGCGGCGAGUGGCGAACGGGUGAGUAAUGCAUCGGAACGUGCCCAGUAGUGGGGGAUAGCCCGGCGAAAGCCGGAUUAAUACCGCAUACGACCUGAGGGUGAAAGCGGGGGACCGAAAGGCCUCGCGCUAUUGGAGCGGCCGAUGUCGGAUUAGCUAGUUGGUGGGGUAAAGGCUUACCAAGGCGACGAUCCGUAGCUGGUCUGAGAGGACGACCAGCCACACUGGGACUGAGACACGGCCCAGACUCCUACGGGAGGCAGCAGUGGGGAAUUUUGGACAAAGGGGGCAACCCUGAUCCAGCCAUGCCGCGUGCGGGAAGAAGGCCUUCGGGUUGUAAACCGCUUUUGUUCGGGAAGAAAUCCUAUGGGCUAAUACCCCGGGGGGAUGACGGUACCGGAAGAAUAAGCACCGGCUAACUACGUG
rnacentral:rRNA from 1 species